AGCAAAUCAAAAGAGUUUUUCACUCCACAUUUGAGCUCUCCCACGUUUUUGCCUCCAACCUUCCAAAUGCUCAAGUGUCUUAGCUUUUCAAAGCUUCAAAAGCUCUUCAACUUCUUCUUCUAAUCUUCUUGUUCAUCUCUACAAGUAAAAAGUGUUGUUUGCUUUAAUAUUUCACUCCUCUAAUCACCUCUUGUGUGUGUCCACUUUGGUUGAAAGGGUUGUCUCAAUAGUACCAAAGUGUGAGAGAAGGUUUUUGAGCUCAACCAUAAAGCUCUAGUUUGGUUCUAUAGAGUUUCCGGGAAAACUCUUAGGUCGAAUCUACCUUGAAAGAUUUCUAAGUUUUUAAGAGUUCCUUGAUACUCUAAGGUGUGAGUAUACCCGUAAAAGACUGGUUCCUAAACGAAGUAGUUUUAAAGCUUAGAGAGGUUUUUAAGAGUUCCUUAAUACUCUAAGGUACUAACUUACCCGUAAAAGUUAGAGGUUCUUAAGAGUGCCUUUGAUACUUUAAGGUGUGAGUCUACCUGUAAAAAACUGAUUCUUAAGCGAAGUAGCCUUAAAGCUUAAAGAGGUUCUUAAGAGUUUCCUUGAUACUCUAAGGUUUUGUCAUAAUCUUUAGGCUAGUGAAUUUCGAUAGUUGGUCGAGACUGGAUUAACCCUUGUUUAGGUGAACCGGUAUAAAUUCUCUUGUGUUGUUCUUUGUUAACUUUAGUUUUUAUUUUUCAUCUAAAAACAACUAAACAACAAUUAAUUGAAAAGGAUCUCUCUUCCAGUUAUCUGGUCAAAUACAGAGGUUGACUACUUUACGCAGAUCCCUCAUCCAAUUAUCUGGUCAACUAUCUGAGAUUAUAUUCAUUGCUUUAAAUUUUUAUUCAUAUAUUUGUUCAAGCAUUUACUUAUCAUAUAUAUAUCCAGUUAUCUGGUAAUAUCUUGAUUAUCAAAUAUAUAUCCAGUUAUCUGAUCAUUUACUCUAUAAUAUAACUUGUGUUUAUAAUAUAACUUAGUAUUCAUAUACUACAGUUGUUUAUAAAACACUAUCUAAAAGUUGAUUCUGUACUCAUAUACUAUAGUAAACUUUAAGAGAAAAGACAAGUCUAAUAUAUUAUAUUCCUUAAAAUCAUAUAAUAGUAUUAUAUUGCUAACAAUAUUAUACUAUUAUUAUUAUACAACCAUUUGUGUACUUAAGUGUGUGCAGGUAAUUCCGCUAUUAAUCUGUACAAAUCGAAAAGAGGCUAUUAUCCCCCUUUAUAGCAUCGGAUUACGAUCCAACAGAUACUUCCACACAAGCAUAGUUCGUUGAAGGCAUCCUCCUUCCCCUCUUUCCCAAAAGAAGGCAAGGUUCGGAUUCGUCAACAAUUAAAUAAGUCGACUAGCUAGUCAGACGUGGGGUAAAUGUAGGGUAGCCAUCGCCACCCGUCCACCCCAAAUGAGAUCCGUCCCUAAGGAACGAAUCUCGCCAUACCCAAUUCGAGAUUUGGACCCACUACUAAGUAACAUUCGUUGGGGGUUAUUCUAGGUAUCCCCUCCAUCUCAUACAACAAAUAACAAGUCCUCUACAAUUGAGUUUUUAAACUUAAAUCUAAUCUAUCAUAAUUCAAAAACAAUAUACACAUCCACAGCUAUACGACAUAUCAGCUCUGAUGCCAGUAAAGAUAUACUAUAAUGUUUCCUCCUGUUACGUUCACCUUAAAUUGUCCAUGUGAUCGACCCAAGUAUAGUCAGUGGCGUAUCCAGGAGGGGCAAGGGAGGGCAAUUGCCCCCCUAAAAGUUGGAAAAAAAUCGAUGACCUAUAUGUAAUAAUUUUUUUUAUAGGGGGUAAGUGUAAUUUUCACAAUAUAUUAAUAUUUUUUAAGGGUUAAUAUAUAAAUUUCAAAAUAUAUUAAUCUCUCUAGUCUCUCCCUCUUCUCCCCCACUGCCCCACGUUUCACAAAUCUUCAAACCCCCUUCUCCCCCGUUUUCCCACAAAUCCAUCUUCUCCGGCCUUCGAGAAAAAUAAGUUGAUAGUAUUGCAAAAACAUUGGAUAUGAAAGAGUUAAAUACUGGACAAGGAACAACUAUAGACAACGAAGUUAUUUUAAAAAUAUUUAAUGAUACGUGUCCUCGUAGGACAUUGAAGUAAUGUAAAAUGUAUUUGAAAUUUUUAUUGUUAAUUAAAUAAAUAUAUUUAUUUUUAAUUUGAAUAUUAAUUAUGAAAUGAAUGUAUUGAUUUUUUAUAGGUAUUUAUAAUCAAUUAUAUAAAUAGGUGAUGCCAAAAUUUAUAUAGGUUUUUUAAUUAGUACAAAAAAAAAUUUUCGCCUUCGGCGAAUCUUGCCCCCUGUCAGGGAAUCCUGGAUACGCCACUGAGUAUAAUCCAACACAAGCCCCAUGUUGAGAUGAUCGUCAUGUUCUCGUGUCUGUCCAAUCCAUAUAUGAUUCGAACCCAACAUUCAAAAAGUCACCGGUAUGUCUACAGAUAUGCUUUUAUACUAUAUAUAUAUAUACACUGAGGAUCAGAGACGGCCGGCCGUAUGAUGCGGCCCGUUUCUGAUCCACACUGUAUAUAUAUAAUUUUUUAUUUCUAAUGGGGACAAAAUAUAAAAAAACCUAAAACAUAAACCACUAUUCCUUCUCCGUCGGACGACAGAUUUUGGUGGUGGCGAUGGUAGUGGUGGAUUCAGCUUCAGGGGAUGGCGAUGGUGGUGGUGGCUUCAGCUUCAGUUCGCAGCUAGUGUGGCGGCAGUGACAAUCCCAAACCCGUCUCCGAUCUAGGCGUUCUCCCUGGCAGUUCCGAUCACUCGAUCGCAGUUCCGAUCUCCAGUCCCGUUCGCAGUUCCGAUCUCCAGUCCCGUUCGCAGUUCCGAUCACUCGAUCGCAGUUCCGAUCACUCGAUCGCAGUUCCGGCACUCGAUCGCAGUUCCGAUCUCCAGUUCCGUUCGGACGGCCGGAUCGAAGGUCCGCAAAAGGGACCGUUCGAAAAACCGGCCGUCCCAGAAUCACUCCAAACAGGGUCGUUCCUGAUAUUUUCUGUAUAUAUAUAUAUAUGAUCUAAUCACUCCAAUCUUUCAAUCUUUAUUUUGUCAAAUCCGACCCAAAGAACCAGUGAAUUCAUGUAUCAGGAGACGAUUAGGUUGAGAGUAGAGAGCCGAAAGGGAAACCCAAAGGCGGAUGUUGCGAUCAAUAUAACGUAUAAGGAAAAAUCUCCAUACAAUCCUGUGGUAGCCUAAGGGUCAGGGAAGGUCUGUGGAAUGAGCUUGUCGCAAACAACUCCGUCAUUCAGUACAUCAGAAUUGACUUCCACCAAUAGAUCUUUGACCAACUGCUUCUUCAUUAAUUCACAGUCUAACUCCACCGUAACAUCAUCAUCCUCUAGACAUCUAACCUUAUCCACAAAGUUCGUUGAAGGGUCCAGUUUUGCUAUUGAAUCUAAGGGUUCUCACGAAUUUGUGUUUCGGCCCAUACCUUGCCAUUCCACCGGUACUUGUUCGAUCCGUCGUUGUCUGAUUUUUAAAAUACGAUAACCAAUAAUCUGGUGUGGCAUCACUAUUGGGUGAGCGUCUUGUGCUAACUCCGGUAGCUCCAUCCUGUCAUUAUCUCUAAUCACACCCACCACCGCUUUCAAAAGUGAUAUGUGAAUCACUGGGUGAAUGGUGCUCCCUGGCGGCAAUGCCAAUUUAUACCCAAACAUGUUACCGAAGGGGAAAAACCACCUAACUAGCAGACUGUUUUUUACCUGCAUUCAAAGAAGACAAGAAAAGAAGGAAGAAUAUAUAGCAGCCAUGGGUGAUGGAUGGGUGUAGACUGUAGUAGACUGGACCACUUUGAAGUCUGGAGGACGUAGAAGAUAAUCAAGACGAAUUAAUGACCACCAACUCGUCAAGUAUAUCAUAAUAUCAAGACAAAGAUAUCAACCCAUCUGACUCCUGAAAGACUGCUAUGAAAUAAAAACAUAACGAAUAGUAAAGGACUUCGAUAUACAUUAAAUACAUUGGUGUGUAAAUAAAUAAAAUAUAAGUGAUGAGUAAAUACUGAAUAGUGAUGAUAUUUUAACAGGGUGUGUGUUUGAUAAAUCCUAAAUGAUAUCCAUAUCAUUACAUGGAAAUUAAAGGUAAUGACUAAUGACAGAUAUCAUAGAUUCAUACCCAUGGCCACCCAGCUUCUCUCCAAACACAUCGUGGUUCUUCCGCAUUUCCAUGGUCAUUAAUGUCACCAUUGGGCACUCGGUUGCGGUCCAAUGCAUCUUGUCUGUAGGUUGGACAUGAGAACUUGGGAUGUUGAACAAAUGAAACUUUUUUCCACCAAAGUUUCAUUGCCUAAAAUAUUGUAUAAUACGAAAAUGAAUCAAAUCAUUAAUUUGAAAUGUUAAGGUGUGUGUUCGAGUUCAUAAAUCAUAAUACCUGCCAAUAUAUCCAAACUGCAACCUUCUGAGGCAUUAGCCAGAAAAACAACUCUGUUUUAAUGGAAGAUGAUGAGGAAGAAGACACUCUUUUGGCAUUUAAAGUAGCUGUGAAAUAGUUUCCGAGAGUUGGAUGUUGAACUGAGAUGGAGAGAAAGAGCUUCUCAUUUGGAGCGUUUGCAUGCAAAUGCCAAUUUCCUAGCAUAUCCUGAAACCAGAAACAUGAUUAUACAUACAUUUUCUGUUGUAUGAAAAAACUUAAGGAAAUUUUAUAUGUAUCUGAAUUCCCACCAACAGAAAUACUAUAAAUGGAGGAAACAUGCACGACAACUGCAAAUGAUAUCCAAAUAAGGAACAGGGAGUACUUUUAUAUGAAGCAACCAACAGGAAAGAAAAUAAAUGAAUGAGUGAUUUGAAAUUUGCAUACCAUAAAUGGACUGACAUGCAAAGGUUUAGCAACUGAGUCAGAUCCCGGGUUGAAAACAAAAGUCACUCUUUCCCCCCAUGGUGUAUUGGUCACCUGACAUCAAUAUUACAAUACAAUCCAUAUUAAAAAAAAAUCAUUUGUUUAGAGUAAAGAGAAAAUUGAGCUUAAUGAGCUACCACUACCAGAGGAAUGUGAAGAAUUUCAGAGAUUAUCCUAAAAAUAGUUGAAUUUCGAUUACUAAUGCUACUAGAGUCUAGGUAGAGGUUAUUAUAAUGAUCAAGGAGGAAACUAUUAAGAAAGAUGCUCUCACAUUUCAUAUCAAGAAUAUCACAGUCAUCUUUAUCUUGAUGGUGUGUGUGUAAAUAUUUAAGAUUGCAGAUGAGAUAUCAAAAUGACGGGGUGACUGAAGAUCUGAAUUUGUUUUAAAGCGAGCCUGAGAAGUGAAAAGAUUCAAAAUCCAAGAGCAAAAUUCAGCAAGCAAGCUAUCUGUUUUAUAAAGGUUUUUAAAACGGUCAUGUACUCAUGUCUUUGGAAUUGGAAGGGUCAUUAAUUGGAAGUUGAAAGUUCAGGGUUAUAUUUGUGAAUGUUUUGAAAUGUUAGGGUAUCUUUCUUGAUAGAAACAAUUCAAUUCAAUUAGAUUAGAUUAGAUUAGAUUCAUUUCAAUUCAUUUAGAUUCAAAUUGAAUCAAUCCAAAACCUUCUAGAAUUCUAGUUGAGUAAACAAAUUGAGAAAUUCAAAUGGUAUACCAAUAUUACUCUAAUACUCACUUCUGCAAUGCACUUGGUCAAUUUGGAUCCAGAACCAUCUUCCGGUUGAUCGAAACAGUAGUAGACACUCAGAGGAUUCUGAUCAUAACCCACGCUUGUUGGAAUCGUCAGCAAAAAACUGAAACACACUUAUUGACAUUAAUUAUUAUUAAAAAAAAUGACAAACAAAACAAAGAAUUAAUAAAUUAACGAGAGACGAACACAGCGCCACGUGUCGAAGUAAUACGGCGAGCCUCGGUGGCCGAAAGAUGAUCAACACGAGUCUGUUCGGAUUGUUCUACACGGUCUAGAUUAAUUACCGCAUAACGUACGGGGUAAUCGAAUUCAUGGUACACCGGACGUCUACGGACGUGGCGAACAUAUCCUUCGUAUAGCCGUAUCGCCGCAUUCUCCUCCACUUCCCCGUCACUACCAGCACGGAAGCAGGAGGUUGAAGACGAGAUGAUAAUUCGGAAUGCUAGGUAGAAGGAGCAGAUUGUUGAUGUCAUACUGUAGUACGCGAUUGACCCCAUCAGGUACACCAAUUCCAUCCCCAUCUUCCUCGAUCACAAUUCGCAAUCAUUCAGUAUAGACUGAUAUUGUUACAACUUGACAGGUAAAGAAGAAACAAAAAAUUAUUAAAAUCCCCAAAUUGACUCGGGUCGGAUUUAUAGAUCCGAUUAACCAAUGAUUAAGGUGGAUCCUAUUAUUUCCAUACCUCAUAAAUCCAUAAUAUUUAAGCGGAUAACUGGAUAAGGCCUGGUAAAAAAAUUGAUGAAAAGAGAGAAAUAUUAUAAAUGACCCGGUAAUAUAUAAUAGAUUAUUUUCCAAAAUAUCUAAUAUAUAAAUGGGUCCGGGUCCAGUUGGGUUUGGCUAAUCUGGAUCUGGGUCUCUGGGUCCAAAAUUAGUCCCAGACUCGGGCCCGGACGUUCUGACCCAGACAAUUUCCUUCUGAACCCGGAUCUGGUUCAAACUCAGACCAGCUUCAUGGGUUCGGGUCCAGCCCAAACCCGAUCCAUUUAAAAAUUGUCCAAACAAGUGUCUUUUUAAAUAUGAAAACUUAUUUCAAAAAUAAAAUAAAAUAUGAAAAUUCAUUUUUUUGGUCGAAAAUAAAAUAAAAUAAAAUCAGGAGAGAUGCAACAUUUUUUAAUAUAUAUAAAAAAGUGUGUAUUACAAGAAAAACGAUAUUUAGACAAGUUAAAAAACGUUAUUCAUCCUGGAAAAGAUUAUCCCUUUUAAUUCUCACAUAAUGUGCUACCUAUACCAAGAACUAUGAAUAUAAUUAAAAACAAUUGUAAUUAGUCAUUAACUAAAUCUAAAAGUUUUAAAAAGAAUUAGUUAGAAUAUACAUGUAUAAAUACUAACCUUGUAUAAAGAUUUCUAAUUGAAUAAAGUGUAUGGUAUCAGAGCGUACGAACUGGAUUCACAUGCUUCCUUGCACCUACAAUAACUGGAUGAGACAUGGGUUUUUUUCACCCACCUCAAUUCCUCUUUGUGUAAUAUUGUGUUUGUGUUUAACUUAGCUCUAAAAACGUAAUUCUUUCGCUCAUGUUUGUCUCAAUGGAAGAAUUGAAGCAGCUGCGCUUUAAAGGAAUUCCAAAAGGAAUGAAAAAUUUGAGACAAAAAAGGAACUUGUCCAGAGGGUUUUGGAAGCGUUCUGAGAGCAGAGAUUAUCCAAGGAGAGAGGUUAGGAAGGAUGAUUUCAACAAAAGGAUAUUAGAUAACUAGUAGUGGUCUACUUCUGAUUUUGGGACUCACAACUCUUGUUUGUACAACAUUCUGAUAGGUUUAUAUUGUAAAUUCUUUUUUAAUUUUUAUAAUUUACAUUUUGUUGAUAUCCGCCUCGUUCCGUGCCCGGUUGUUGGGUCCGGCACAAGGGGUCAAUGAACUUGAUCCACUCCGUUCCUCUCUCUGGUCAUUUUGACCGGGGUGGAUCACGAAACAAGAUAUUUUUACUCUCAUUCUUCAUUUUUUGCCUCAUUCUUCCUUACAUGGUUCUAUUUUUGGGCAAGACCAUCUACUCCUAAAGUCCAUCUACGUGACCCGCUCAUUCUCAGUUCUCUUUUUUUUGAAUAAAAAUCGUGAUAAAUAUAUACCCAAAAAAAUGACACACCACAUGGCAGUGAGUUCCGUUGAACCUGACCCCAUAUAGAGGCACGCCCGAAAGCUACAAUUGACACAAAUCGUAAUAAAAACAAAGAUAACUCACACACUCCUUAAAAAACUCAUUUGUUUAGUCUCAGAUUUCCACACACCCCUCCCUUUCAUCUUAGUUUCAGAAACCCUUUAAAAAUGUUAAGAUAUGCUUUCGCCCGCCAUGUGUUUGUGUCCACCCGAGGACUCGACACUCCCACGCGACCAUAGUCCAUUGAAAACAUCCUCCUUCCCCUCCUCCCUGAAAGAAGACAAGGGUCGAAAUCGUCAACAAUCAACUAAGUCGACUAGUCAGACGUGGGUAGUUUGUCAAAUAAAGCCUGGCUCGUUUAAGCUCGGGCUCGCGAGCCCGAGCCUGAAGCUCAAGCUCGUUAAACUUGACGAACGGAGCUCGAGCUUAGACAUUCCAAGCUCGGCUCGGCUCGUUAAGCUCGGUAUGGAGGUGUAGCAUAGAUGGUAAAACGUUUGUUAAGCAUGUGAGAGGCUCGACUCUAUAAGAAAAAACUCGGGUCGUUUGACACCCUAGACGUGGGACAAACGUAGGGUACUGCCGGCACCUGUCCAUCCCAAAAGAGUUCCGUUCCUAAGAAACAGACCCCAACCGGACUCCUCAACCCCUCCUCAGGUAUCUUAUCAUACCCAAUUUGGGAUCCGGACCCACUAUUAAGUAACAUCCGUUGGGGGGUUAUUUUGGGUACCCCCUCUAUCCCAUACAACAAAUAACAUGUCCUCCAUAUAGUUGAGUUUCUAGAUUUAAAUCUAGAUCUAUCAUAGACAAUACGUACAUCCACAGUUAUACGUCGUGCCAGCUCUGGUGCCGGUAAAGAUUUGCUCUCAUGCUUCCUCCGAUUACGCUUACCCCAAAUUGCCCAUGUGGUUGGCCCAAAUAUAGUCCAACAUAUGCCCCGCCCCAUGCAGGUAAUCGUCGUGUUCUCGUGUCUACCCAGUCCAUAUAUGAUUCGAUCCCUACAUCUGUUGGCGUCAAAAAAUCCUCUAUAUGCCUACAGAUCUGCCUCCAUACAUCUCUGGAAUAACUGCAUCCGAAGUAUAUAUGGUCGAAACUUUCCGGCUCUGUUGUGCACAACCAACACUGUUUAGGUUGAGGGCACCCCCACCCAAUCAGCUUGUCCUGCGUUGUGAUCCUUCGAAGGCUAGCUCUCCACAUCGUCAUAGCAUACUUGUUGACGCCCGAUGCCCAUAUCCCUGCUGCUCUGUCUUCCCUUGUUCUCCUCUCUCUGAUCGUAUCCCACACAUUUCGAAAUGUGAAGCCUGUGCCACUCCUUGUCUAUAUGCAUAUGUAAUCCUCUCCACAAGUCAUGCCCCUGUUUAUCUUCGACCUUUUGUCCACAAUCUCUAACCAUGCUUAUGAGUCAACUCCACUGCGUCUCUGGAUGUCUACAAGUGCCCUUCCUCUGACAUACCUCUCGCGCAUCCAUGUAACCCAAAUAAAAUCCUCUGCAUUCCAUAUCCUCCGCACUCUCUUCAUUACUGAUGCCGUAAUUGUGUCCUCAAAUCGUCUGAAACCAAUUCCACCCUCAACCUUUGGUAACGCCAUUUGGUCCCAACUGACCUCCUUCUUUCAGUCCCAUAAUAAUUUGUAUGUUAGGCUCUGCAACGAUCCCAGUACCUCACUUGAUAACCUGCAGGUCGAAAUACCAAAACAUAAGAUUACUGACUAUACCUCAAUGAAAUAAUUGCAGUCCCCCUGCAUGUGACAGAAGGCGGGUCUUCCAUCUUGCCACCAUGGAAGUGGCCAUCUCUACCAAUCUACAACAAUCGCUCGGCCUAAAGAUUGUUGGGCUUAGUGGGAGACCAAGGCAUCUCGUGGGGAAUUGUCCUAUCGGCAUUCCUAGUAUCCCUACCAGUUGUGAAAUUUGGGGGGUCCCAUGUGAAAAGAACACUUCGCUCUUCACCUUGUUCACUUUUAGUCCUGUACAUGUAGCAAACACACCAAAUACAUUCAUCACAGAUAAAAGCGACUUCCUUUUGGCCUUACAGAAGACCAUUAGGUUGUCAACAUAAAUGAGGCAUGACACAGAUAGUGUUCCUUGGAUCACGUAUCUCUGAAUUUCCUUCCUAUCUAUACUCUCCUCGAUGGCUUCCAAGAAAUUCUCCAUGAGUAGAGUGAAGAGAUAGGGGGAUAGUGGAUCCCCUUGUCUCAGCCCUUUACCACUACGAAAGACUUUCGUAGGGGCUCCAUCAACUAAAACCGAAAAAGAUGCCGACUUUACCAUUUUCAUUACUAGUUUAACUCACUCCUCACUGAAUCCAAAGUCCUUUAGUGUACCCCUCAGUGCCCUCCAAGCCACUGUAUCAUAGGCCUUUAAAAUGUCGACCUUGAUGCAUGCUCGGGCUGCCGAGGCGGCUUGUCCAAACCCAGUUAUCAUCUUAGUCGCUAAAGCAUAAUUAUCCCCUAUCAGAUGUCCUUUCAAAAAAGCAGUCUGGUUCGGGGCAAUUAUUCUCUGUACUACCGACAACAAUCUUGUUUGAUGAUUUUCGAUAACACUUUGUAGGUGGUGUUGACACACGAUAUCGGUCUGAAAUCCGCCAGAUCUGAUGCAUUUGUCUUCUUUGGUAUUAACGUCACAAAGGUGUGUUUGACCUCCAAUAGAAGGUUUUCCCCCGCAAAGAUGGAUUGAAUGACAUGCACAAGAUCUGGGGCUAUGACUUCCCAUGAUUCCUGAAAGAACUUAGCGUUGAAACCAUCCGGCCCCGGACUUUUGUUUGGGUUCAAGUGGAAUACCGUAUCUUUUAUCUUUUGGUACUCUGGCAUUCUCAUAAGAUUCAGAUUCUCUCCCGACGUGACCUAUCUCUUGAAAGCUCUCCUCGGCCUAAUCAUACCGUUCCCUCUGUCCCUGAAUAGUUCAGAGAAAUAUACCACACAUUUCUCCUCCAUAUCUAUCCUUGACACCAUCAUUUUUCCAUCCCUUCCUAUGAAUUUAUAGAGCGAAUUAUGCGAUUGUUUUUCCCUAGUCAUAGCCGCAAAGAAUUUCGUGUUUUUAUCACCCAGCUUUAACCAUUGCAUUCUACUCCGUUGUCUCAUAUUCUCCUCCUCUGUUUUAAACAUGCCUCUUAGUCUGUCCUGACAUUCCCGUAUUCGUACCUGGAUCCCCUCAUUUCGAGGGUCUAAACGAAGAUCUCCUUCUUCCUUGGUUAGUUGGGCUUGAGCUUUAUCUAGGUUUUUGUUCCCGUUAAGCUUUCGUGUCCAAGGUUUUAGCCCUCUCUUCACCGCCUUAAGUCUCUAGGUGAAUUUGUACAUGGCUUUUCCAUGUACUCUCUUCUCCCAACCCCAUGUUACAACAUCAACAUAUCCCGAUGCCCUGAUCCAUGAAUUUGUGAACCAAAAAGGUUUAACCCUUUUCUCAAAUUCCCUAAGUUCCAUAUGCAUGCACGUAUGGUCAGAUGUGCCCAUAGAGUGGUAUUCCAACUUUCGGAGUGCAUGGCCACAGUUCUAACCAUGCUUCAUUUCCAAACCCCUUAUCCAAUCGACUUGCCCUUCUAUUUUCACCUAUCCUACCAUUGUUCCAGGUUAGGGUGGCCCCUACAAAAGGGAUCUCUCUCAAAAAGCAGUUAUCCAUAGUCGUCUCGAACUCCUCGAUCCGAGCCCACCUCUGAUUCGCCCCUUCCUUCUCCUCCAUUCGGAGGACUUCGUCGAAAUCCCCUAUCACUAACCAUGGUUCAUUCCGGACUAUCACGAGCUCUGAUAGUCCUUCCCAUAACCUCCUUCUUCUAGCUGGGGAUAAUCCGACAUACACCAUGGUGAUGUAUACCUUCAUCCCCCCUUUAUUCUUAGCAUGGACGUGCAUAAAUUGCUUAUGGCAUUUUAUCAGCUCUACAUCCCAUAUAUCUCUUUUCCAUCCCACCCAAAUGCUAUCUACACACCCUAAGACUUCGGAAUUGUUUGACACGCUUCAUCCCGGUCCUCAAAAUCUAAACAGACCGAACUUAUUCCUAUUAAUCUUAGUUUCAAUCAGACCGAAAAGGUCGGUCUUAAGAUCCUUUAGUUUCUUUUUAAUCUCUUCUCUCUUCCCCGGAUCAUUCAUCCCUCUCACAUUCCAACACGUUAUCGACAUAAUUAAUAUAACUAUUGGUUUGGGGCACUCCGAUACCCAUGCUUCCUCUUCAUUAUCCUCCUGGACCUUCUACCCGGUAUUGCUUCUACACCACUCAUAUUUAGGGGAUUUAACUCAUUUAAUUUAUUUAAACUAUUGCUUGACUAAAUUAAAUUCAUACCGUCGUCCCUUAUGUGGGUGGAAUCCUCGCCAUCUGGCACCUCCGACCUUACCUUGUUCACAUGGUCACUCCUGCCCCCUUCCAUCUCCUCUUUCUCCGUCUUAUAUUCUUGCUCAGAUACAUAAUCGGUUUUCUCGUCGUCUGUCUCUUCAUGUUCUCCUAUAUUGUAUGUUCUCCCAUCCUCAUCGCACUCUUCGAACUCGUUCCCUUCCUCCUCUCCUCCCUUUCCAUCCUCCAUCUCUGACGGCCAGUUGUUAUCCACAUUCUGGUGAACGUCGACGUUCUCGCUCAUACCACUGUCUCUGUACACCACAACUUCUCCCAUUUUCUUCGUCGGCCUUGUCUUGGAGAGUCGACGCUCCCCCGUACCUUCUAGUUCAGAUCCCGGCGAUGCAAUGUAGGUAUGACCCGCUCGCCGACGCUCGCCCCCAUCAGUGACCGCUACCUCUCUUCCCCUCCUUGUUAAUUUAAUCGGAUCUCCCAUUUGGGUAUCGGGUCCCCCCUUCUUUCGUGAUUUGAAUAUCGGGUUUGCUCCUUCUCCUCUUUGCCCUUCCCCUCUUCUUUGAUUUAAUCGGAUAACUGGAUACCCGUAUCCGAUAACCCAACACUCUUUUCACCAAAUCCUUAAUUUUCCCCACCACCUUAUCCAUCUCGCCCGUUGGGUCUUGUUAGGCAACCUGCCCCAACACCUCUCCCAUCUUCUUCACUAACCCCAUGUGCUUGUCCACUUCAUUCAGCCUCGCUUCCUCACUCCCAUCGUCUUCACCCUCUCUCACCGUCUCUGCUGGUUCCAAUGUCUCCUCCGACGAUCGUCGAUCCAUCUUGCAGUCUGUCUUGAUGUGACCAAACCUCCAACAAUUGACGAUCGUGAUAUUUAUCUCUACUCCAACCUCGUCGACCAUGGUGAAAGCCAUCGUGCUAGGGAAGUUUGAUGAGCCUUUCAUCAUCACUUUCAACCUCACCACCUCUGUCAACGGCCCCUGUGCGGUCAGUCCAUCCAUCUCCAGUGGCACUCAUAGUCUGCUGCCAAUUGCGCUGAAAACCGCCCUAUCCCACAUCGCCGGCGGGAACUCCGGCAGAACCAUCUAAAUUGGUAAUUCGUCAAAAUCCUCCUUCUCCAAGUGUAUUCCACUACUCCAACUCCUCACCACCUUAUAUCCCCCACCUAUCCACAUCUCCGUUAUGCCCUUCGCCCUCCCCAUAAACCUCUUCAUCAUUUAUCUUCACUAGAAAUGUACUAUUUUUCCUCGACAGUACCACCACCUUGUCGCCGUCCACUUUCCAAAUGAAUUUCAAAGCUGAUUUAACCUGGAAAGCGUUCAUGGAGUUGCCCCCCAACCUCCUCAUUAUCACCGUCCCUGCCCACUUAUCUUUGUUCACUUUGAGCUCACCCAGAAUCACCUUAAUUUUGCCGCCAUCUUCUCUUUUCUCAGAUGAGUCCACAGAAUCCAAGCUUAAAUCGACCACAUCUCUGACCCCUUUCCGUGCCUCCCCACCCUUGACCAACCUUGCCCAUGACAUUCCGGGGGGGACUUGAAGAUAGUUUUCGUCGGUUGGGAACCAACCUUAAUUGCCCACGACAUUCUCAAUUCUCACUUCUACAGUUCUACCCCCAAAGCCAUAAAUGAUUUUUUUUUUGAAACAGUGAUUAAUUAUUACAGCGAAAAAAUGUUAUAGAUUAUAAGUGAUUAGAUGGAAAAUGCAAAUACAUAUAAAUUAAUGGAUGGAUAUAUAGAUUUUGUUUGUGAUAAAUAAAUUCGUAGACAUACUAAAAGCCCAAAACCCCUAAUUAGGUUUUGUGACUUUUGUCCCAUUGAUAUCGCAAUUACUAUUAUAACCUUGUGGGAUGGAAUUACUGUUGCUGCUCCUAUCAAUCUGAACCGUAUAAUGGUCAUCUAUUGUUUUCCUUCUCCCAUCUCCUCUUUGGCAACCAAUAAAUUGUGAUCUAUCUCCGAUGACCGUCUGCGUGCAUUGUCAUAAAAUGGCGUUAUUCCAGAGGAGGAUGCCCCCACAGAUGGUAGUUUCGACAGUAAUGCCUCCAAACUACUCAUUGAUGGUUGGAAGUUUGGAUGAGUUUGGGUGGUCCAGUUCUCCGCCAGUACUGCCUGCCCGUCGUUGCACCCAGAUGCUGCUGUUGUUGCUGCAUAGUCGAGCUUGAAAGGGAAUGCAGAGGAGGAAGGGUGCGGCAGGAGCACGCCGGGGAUGCUCUCCAAAUAGCUGAAUCUCUUGCGUAGAAGAAAAACGUGGCUCAAGUCUUCUACCACCUUAAUUAAAAUAAAAAAGAAUGAUGAUAAUAUGAUAUAGAUAUGUAUGAUUAAGACGGGAUGGGGAUAUAAUAAUUCUGUCUGUUUCUUUCACACAGAUGUAAUAGUAUAAUAAUAUCUAUCGACACAGCAAGAUGUGGUCAUCAUUGAUCAAUCCUUCCCCACCAAGAUGGCUUGGUGGCUACUGGUUUUUGCAGUCGUAUGUUGCAGAUGAAGAUCCAUAUGGAAUUCAGUAUACAGAUCUUGGAUUUUUAUACACAUACGUGAUAUUAUGAUCCAUUUAGAUUAAAGGAGAAAGAAACCUUGUUUAAAGCUCCCAGUUGAACUACACCUUCUUUGACAGCAAUUAGAGCAAUGGUCUGCAUUUUUUGAUGAAACUGAUUAUAGAAGUUUUUUUAAAAAAAUUGAUGAGAUGAAGAAACCAAACCUUGAUUCCAGACUGGAAUUGUGCGUCCCAUAUCCUUGGAUGCUGGUGGAAAUUGUAUAGAAUCAAUAUAUAUAUAUAUAUUAUAUUAAGUCGAGGAAUCCCAAGAAGAAGAAGAAAACCCAAAUUAAAUAUAAUGAACUUACUGAAUCUGCUGUGUUGUGCCAUGAAGAUAAGAAAUUGAUUCCUCGUUCUUGAGGUUCUUUGAAAAUCCACUUGUGGGUAUGAUCUGAAGCAACUUUACCAAUCGAUCUGCACGUAAAAAAUGAGCAUCAAUGGAUGGAUAAAAGUGUAGUUUAAUUGCGAUUAAGUAUAUAUAUGUAAUUAAUUAAUUACCCUUCCCCGUAAUUGUAGAUUUCAUGAGACAUUUUGAAGAAGAGCUCAGGCCGAAGUCCUUUGGUAUCAUGUCCUUGACAUGAAGCUGCAAAGUUGCAGAACCCAUCUUCCCAAACCAAAAUCCUGUGAGUCGUCAUGGUGGAAAAAGGAAAUCAGCCUCAUCCAUCCACACACACACAUAUAUAUUGACAGCCAUUAUAGCAUACCAGUUUCUUCUGUUUCCUCUAGACCUGUCAUACAAGCUUCCAGGAAGAUCCCACCUGCACCAACAGCAAGAUGAGAAGAGAAAUAAGAUCGAUCGAUUGGAAUUAAUUCUUACUUGGGUGGUGGAUAAUUUCUGGGUAGGGUUCUCCAGAAUACUGCGUAAACCCAUUGUGAGUUUCGAUGGAUGCACAAGCUUCUCAAUGUUUGCUGCAACAGAUGGGUAACAGCUAAUGGGUAUUGUACCUGUUGUUGCUCCAUAAAUUCGGCCGGACGGACCUAAGGAUCUUAUUUUUUCUCUUCUAGCUUGUUUAAUUGUCUCUGUUUCUUCUGAAUUUAUACCCAAAUAUGGGAUCAAUCAUCCAUAACUUCACUUUCAUUUACCUGUCAAAAUUAAUUAAUAGAUAAAUAAAUAAAUAAAAAGAUUGUACCGUUUGGUCGAGAAUCAAAGAAAUCUACAGGAUGAGGUCCCCAAAAUCCAAAUUAUCCGAUCUGGUGAUCUCCAUAUUUUUGGCAUUUUAUUAAAUCUUUGCAUUUGCAUUCUAGAAUUCUUCAACAAAAUAUAGAUUUUUAGUUAGCCGCGUCCUUCAAUAAUUUCAUAUCAUACAUGCAUUGCCCAUUGGGCAAGCAAGAUAGUAAAGAAAGCGCACAGCCCAAAGAUUCAUGACCCCAAAGAUUCAUGACCCCAAAGCAUACAAAUUAAAGCUGUUCUACUACGUCUACAUUUUUCUGCCAUUAAAAUAUUCACAGAUGAAUCAGAAUAUAAUAUAAGUCAAUAAUUAGAAAACUACCCAUACAUCGUAAAACAAUCCAUGUGACAUUGAUCGAUGAUUAAAUUCCGAAAUCCAUCAACUUGCAUUGUGAGUUUGUGACCUUAAUUACUUGUGGAAAGAAUUGCUCGACACGUGUAAAGAUAGAUCUACUUAACCCGGUGCCUAACCAUCCAGUCGACAAAACCAAAGGGGAUCGAUCGUUUUUACCGCUUUUAGGUAAGAGACAAGUAGACGGCAUUUGGUCAAAUGCCUGUCCUGUCCGAUUCCAAGCAAUCACGUGAAGCUUUUCAUGAUUACCGUCAUCUUGAUUAAUCAGCUCUGUCAAGUGAUUAAGAUUAAUCAAUCGAUGUGAUCCGACGGUUUCAGCUGGGGCCGGAGAGAAGGUACGGUGGGGGACAUCGAAUGCGACUAGAAUCCAUUUAUCAUAUGGAGGAGAAAGAAUAAUGCUUGGUACACAAAUGUCGGAGCAUCCAAUCACAAAAAACAAGACUGCCUGCCCAGUGUCCACGGUGGUACCCCUCGCCUCUCGUUUCUCGUGAAAUCGAUGCAGCUAGGUUUUGUAUUUUGUAGCAUGAAAACAUAAAAGAGGUAUCAGGUAAUCGGAUCUAACAUUCUUACCAAUUAUUUAUCAGUGCUUGUGACAUCACGUGUUGGCAAAGAAGAGUAUUCUGUAUUCCCAUUUCGAAUUACGUACGUAUUCAGUAUUCUUUCCUUUAAAGGUAGAAUUGCACCAAAUUCCAAAAUAAAUGAACAAAUUAAGUAAACAAUCAACUAUUUGGUGAUUUGCAAUGACGGACACUAUUUUCACCCACCACCUCCUCUUCUUCUCAUCUUCCGAUAUUGCCACCAGACAACAUUCCGUCGCCUCAUUCACGUCGGGGUUUGCAUCUGUUUACCGUCAGCGACGACCCAAUUCGUUGACAAUAUCCAUCGGUUGUGAUGACCGCAGUUCCAUCCACUCGGUCAAGUCGACACCACCAAAUUCAGAUUCAUCAUCGUCCUCUCCAUUAUCGAUUGAUCACUUGGAUGAAAUAAAGAAGCGAAAACUGAUUCUUCAGAACUUCGCUUACACCCAUGAAGACGAUCGUGGGUCUCUGCGAAUCCGCCUCAUGUCCUCCGGUGAGGUCGAUCAAACAUGUGUUCUUAUUGCAGAUUCCAUCCCCGAAUCCUCCACGCUGUCCAGGUGGAAUUUCAAAAGGUACGUACGUAUUUAUAUUUACUAUCUGUUUUUUUUUUAGAUUAGGACAGUAUUUGAUCGAUCUUUCGUAUAGGAACGUAACGGAGCUAGAGUUCUUGGUGAAACAAUACCUCGAUAACCAAAGAACCGUCUUUCCUCACUCGGCGACGCUUGUAGGGUUUUACAAACAAAAGAAUAACAAUCCCGGAGAAGAAGAGGAGAAAGUUGCAUGUACGGUGGAGAUUUCGUUUAAUGCAUUGGGUAUGCACUCCUUUCCUUCGACCCCAUUACCGCCCAGAGAUCAUCCCUACAUCUGUAACAUGGUUGUCAAGAGGGAACUCCGGAGGAAAGGAAUAGGUUGGCAUCUGUUGAUGGCAUGCGAGAAAUUAACGAGUCUCAUAUUCUCUUCCGAUAACAAUCCACACCCACAAGCUCCUACGGUUUAUCUCCAUUGUAGAGUCGUUAAUUUAGGAGCUUUAAGCAUGUACAAGAAGGCCGGUUACACGGUUGUCAAGACGGAUAACAUACUGGUUUGGCUUUCGUUUCAUCGACGCAAGACAUUGAUGUUUAAAAAACUAGAACAGUGACAGAAAUAUUAGCUUAAUAAAAUAUAUUAAUGCAGUAAACUAAAAUAUAUUACCUUACAAGAAAAUAUGUGAAGAGUUGUUAUAAUUCAUCAGAAAAUGAGUUGAUUGAUACCGCCUACCUCCAACCAGAUGGCGUGCUCCAAUUCAUGUGAAUGUAAUUUGUAUGAAAGACUGAUUGAAUUAUUUCGUGUGUAUGUACGCCUAUUUAUAUUACUAUUACAUAGUUUUAUUAGUACUAACUGAUUAGAUAUAUCUAAUUGAAUACAGCUAUUAAUAUACCUCUUCAAUCUUGGGAGAGGCUUCAAGGCUUUGGUUAGUAUGUCGGUUUUCUGAUGUACUCCUGGUAUAUGUGAUACACUUAUUGUUCGGAUAGCUACAUGUUUUAAUUUCGUGUGACAUACUGAAUUUGAAACCAUAUAUGUUGCACCCAAGUUGUCGAACCUGAGUGUCAUCAGUAAUCGUGCUUCAAUGCUUAAUUCCAAUAAUAGAUUGCGUAUCCAUUCAAGUUCUGUAAUUGUUGUGGCAAUUGCUCUAUAUUCUGACUCCGUACUUGAUUAAUUUUGCCAUGGUAUUUUAUUUUUUAGAGUUCAUGCAACAAAAGAUUCGUCUACAUAGAUGAGAUAGUCUGUUUGACUUUUGCGGUCAUCAAUAUCCCAUCCUCAAUCUGCAUAGUUUUAUUAGUACUAACUGAUUCCAGUUAUAUCUAACUGAAUACAGCUAUUGGUAUUCGCAGCCUAAAUGCCCUUAGCAUAACCGUGCUUCACCUUCUUCCUAAUAGAUUCGUAUAUGUUCCUUCUUGCAUGAUGGCCCCGAACUUAAUCCUUCCCAAGCAACCUCUCCUUCUCUUCCCAACCUCGCACCCAGAAUUUCCUUCCACCCAAUGAAGGCCGAUGACCUCGCCGUUGCUUCAUCCAACGUUUGUUAACCCAUGAGCUCGAUCCAUGCUGAUUCUCCAUUCUCCUAUAUCUUGUUAAUUGUCGCAUCAUCCAUCACCCUAAACUCCUAGACAUUAAAGCCCUAUUCUUCCUUAGCGUAACUGUUUCCCACACCGCUUCUUUCUUCCCCGCCCAUAGAAAUCCAUAUCCAAUUGCUCUGAUCUUCCUCAUUGAUCAACGUCUUUUUAGGUAACCUAUAAGCUUGCACCCAGUAGUUGACUUGGCCGCAAAAUACCCAAUUCAGCAACUGUAGCAACUUUCUUUGGCUUAUUGAGCCGGGUUCGGCUUGUUAAAGAGUUAUCCAUGCUCGGGAUUAGGUUCGAGCUCGUCGAACCUGAUUUGGUUUGGCUCGAGCUCGAACUUAAUAUGAAGUUACAAGUUAAAAUAAAUAUUUUGAAAGAAUAGGAUGUCAAACCUCUCACAUGUUAAACAAUUACUUUAUCAUCUAAGUUAUAUACUCAUUUUCUUCUAAUAUAUAUAAUAUUUUAUUAUUAUUAUUAUACAUUUAAACUUCUCUUACCAAACCCACCAAGUUUAAGGAAGGCUCUUGAGCUAGAUGCUAGAUAUAUAGACGUUAAAUUCGAGUUUGGUUUACAUAUGUAAUUUUUAUUAAAUUUUGACAAAGUAAUAGUGUAAUAUUAUCGUGGAUUAUAUUCAAUUAAAAAAGAGUGAAAAUCCAGGUUUUUAAAUUCAAAAAUGAAAACGUAAUUGACGACAACAUGUGGGCGACUGGUCUGCACGCAAAACGGGCCAUCUAAGCAAGGUUUGGGAAAAGUAAGUUCCGCCCGAUCGGUCAUACAUUUUACGGCUUUCCCCCACGGGGUUUCAACUACCACUACAACAACCUCCACAAUAACCAUGUCUCAAGAACAAGAAGAAAACCCCAAUUUUAAUCCAUACGAUGGUCAUCAGCAUUCCUACGCGAUCGAGCUCUACUUCGAUCCGGCACUCGAGAAUCAGGUUCUCAAAGCAUGGAACGUCCUUGCUCGCCGUCAAAUCACCACCCACUUGAUCUCCAUUUCGUCGCGCCCGCAUAUCACUUUGCUCGUCGUGUCUUCUUCGAACCCUAACGCUCCUUCUCCUCCUCCAUCCGCGGCUCUGCACUCUGCAAUUCGCACAUUCGCGACCCGCUCUGAGCCUUUUCCGAUCUGUCUCACUUCUGUCGCGACUGCUGGAUCCAACUCCCUCUUUCUUCUCCCGACCCCGACGAUGCCGCUGCUGCAGAUGCACUCGCGUCUCUGCGAGGCUGUUGGAAAAGAAGGGGUGGAAGUUGGAGAGGAGUACAGGCCUGACACGUGGCUUCCUUGCUGUUCUCUAGCAGAGGAUGUCUCUAAGAGUAGUAUGGCAGAGGCUUUUGGUGUGUUGAAGGACAUGAAACUGCCUGUCGCUGGGUAUGUGAUGGAUAUCGGCAUUGUGGAGUUCGGGAAUACAGGCUAUGGGCCUGUUAAAGAGCUUUUUUCAAUACAGCUGGGAGGGAAUGGUGCUGGUGCUGGCUUGCAGGAUGCAUGAGAGAAGGUGAUCUUGCUUCUUUGUCUUCUGUUAUACUUCCAAUGCCUUUGUUUGUGCUUUCUUCUCUACAAUUAGUGUAAUCCAAUGAUAGAAAAUAUGGGUUUAGCUCUUAAUUUUAUUUUCAAGAUUCUCAAUUUACGAUGCUUGCUUGUGUUUCAAUUUUUUUUUUUAAGAUUAUGUUUCAAAUUUAUAUUACAUGGAAAUUGACAUUUUUUCUAUCUGGUUUUCUGAACAAUGCCUUUUUUCUUUCUCCUAUCAGUUCAUUGUUUUGUCAUUUUAAUCGUUUCAAAUGAAAUUUCUUUGCGUAAAUAAACCUAAAUUCUAGCAAUAGAUGCUCUAAUAUAUUCAGUCACUACAAUAGUUAUUUUUAUCACAUACAUAUCUUAUUCUUCUGCAUUUUUUUGAUAACCAUGAUCCAAUAUAUUAUCGAUUCUUAUAUUCCAAAAUGGAUCAAGGAAUUUUCUAAUUUUAGGAGUGUGAGUGUGAUACUGUGAUAUGCGGCAUAUGCCUUUAUUGAUUCUUUUUAAGAGUCGAUUCCAUACUUCUAAAUAGCGGAUAGCGGUCGCUAUUAGAGCAUAUAGUAUUUUACCCAUUUUUUAUUUUUUGCAAUAUUCUACCUGUAAGUACAAGUAUGUAAUAGUAAAUACUUGUGAAUUAAACAUCUUCAAAAUUAAAAUAUAUAGUAACGUUGAAACUUCAAAUAGUAUGAAAAUUAAAAAGUAUAUAUGUAUGAAUGUAUCAAAGUAGCUAAUAUCAAAUUUUAAUUUCUAAGGUCGUGUCAUAUCAUCAUCGGAUUCAGAUAGCUUUAGAUCCUUAAUCUCCCUUAUUAGAGCUUGACUCUCUGUCAAUUCCUCCUCACUGUCCCUUUGUCAUGCUUGACUCCUUGUUUUACCACCAACAUGUUCAUCCAGUCCGCAACCUUUGCCGCUGUUGACAAUGUCAAUCCCUCUUCUCCAUAAACGAACUCAUUAGAGACUCCCUCUGUACUUGUCAUCCAUUCUCUAUUGUAAUUCAAUGUGUUUACUUCAAUUAGAUCAAAAGGAGUUCCAUUAGCUUGAUUAAGCCUUAAAGAACAAUCAUUGAUCACCAAUUCGUCACAUAAUGGAUGAAAAAUGGUUGGACCAUCCGGAGUUUCAUCAUUUGAAUCUCUUUCAUUGUCGGAAUGGACGGACUAAAUGUUUUCGUUGGAGAACAUGAAGUCUGAAAAUAACUAAAACCCUAAAAAAAUAACUCAAGAGAACAAUUUUCCUACCAAAAUCAGAGUUCUGGUCAGAAAUCAGUCAUCACCUGAGGUCGCCGGAAUGAGGUCUGGCCGGUGGAAGAAGGGCUGCUCGGAAGAAAAUUCUCGUUGGAAAAGCCCUAGUUCUUUUUUAAACAAAAGAUUUUAAUUCAUUGUAGUUGGUUCAUUGGGUGGAUCCAGCUAAGGAAUAGCGCUAUGUCCUGCCAAACCGCUAUAUCCGCGCUAUUUAAAACUAUUGUCGAUUCUGUAAUCUUGAAAUACUUAAUUUGUUCUUCAUUAUUUUCUUUGUUAAUAUUUUAGUUUUUAUGCUCCUUUUUCUUCUUCUUGUAUUGGAUUUUUUAACUUGAUAUUGGGAUCAGUCAGUUAACGUGAUUCAAUAAGGGAAUUUGAUUUGGUUAUGUUUUAUCAUUUGGAAGAGAAAAAUUGUUGGGGGUUUGGUUUAGGUUUGUUGUGGAAAAUAGGCAGAGUAUGGAGUGCCUUGUGGUCAAAACCCCAGUGAUUCCAAUUUCCAGAAGCAUCGGUUUUAUUUAAAAAUACCUCUUGUUUUGAUGUUUCGAACAGUAUUUAUCAUUAUAUUUUCAGGUUUUGAAACUUUCAGAAUUUUUAAAAAUUAAAAUCAUAUUAUUUAUGAAUAAUUUAAUUUCGAAGAUGAAUUAAUAAACAGUAAUCAGUUUAUGUCUAUUUGUCAUUUCUUUGCAGAAUAAUUUAUAGUUUUUAGCUUCUACCAGAUUUAACUUAUAUGCUUUUAUGUUUCCUCGUUGCUUUCCAAAUGAAUUCUUUUCGCCCAUUUUUUAUGUUAUGUUAUUCAAUUAUAAUUGAUAAAGGAGUAAGCUACUAAUCUGGAGGUUGUCAAAUACUCAAAACGAAGCGAAAAAUUAGGUUUGAUGCGAUCUUUGUUAAUAUUAGACUCAGAGAUGUUAAAAAGAGAACGAUAAAUUAACAAAUACAAUUUAGAUCUAAUGGAUGUCACUACAAGUGGUGGAAUGCUUUUAGAAGUUAGAACUUAGAAAAAUUUAUCUGCAACCACUUGAGGUUAGUGGUUAGUGUCCUGAUAUCUUCAUGGACACAAAUUGAGAUCUACAUUGGUUAUUAUCGCCUAUUAAUAUGUAAUGAUUACUGGUUUAAAAAGUAAUAACAUAAAAUGUAGAGUAUUAUCAAAGUGUUUAGUUUGAGUAUCUAUUAGUAUCAAAGUCUAAUCCCCAAUUUCCUCUUGAAUGUGAUGAGGGUUCAUCCUUCUUUUGCUUCUUUGAUAAGUGUGAAUGAACCUUUCAUUAAUUGCAUCUUAAAUUGUAAUUAUGAAGUAAAUUGCCAUGUACUUGAACAUUUUUUAUUUAUAACUAUAGUGUUAAUGAUGUUUCUUUUUAUGUAUAAAUACCAAAAUUAAUAUUGAAGCUUUCAUUUUAGCCGAGUUUUAAAUUCAACAAAAGCUUCGUGAUCUGUCCACAAAUAUUGGGUUCAUAUUUUUAACUUUUUAAAAACAAUCUUGUAUUAAUUCUGUUAUAAAAACCUCAUUUUUUUCUUUCUACUUGAAGAUUUUCAUAAUAUCUAUAAUACUUUUAAUGUGUGAAUGAGUAGGUAAUUAUUGUAUUAAUGAUAUGUUCUCAUUUUAUAUCUGCAACCUACUUGAUUUUUGUGAUGUGCAAUGCCUGAGGUUAGCAAUUAUGAUUCUCCAUUUUAAUUUACCUUGUUACAUGUCAUGCGUGGGAUUAGGAAUUUUCCUUUUACCAAAAAAAAUCUUAACAAUUCAUUUCAUGUCGUGCGUGGGGUUAGCAAUUGCCAUUCUUCAUGUUUACAGAUGAAUUUAGCAACAUAUAGAAUGCUUUCCAUUUGUAAUCUUAUAUUUUAUGUUGUUGUUUCUGUCUUGAUAUUUAUAUUUUAUAUAUUGGGUAUCCAUUAUCGAACUAUCCAAUCCAUUGAUUUAAUUUCUUAUCAUCUUGUGAUUCAUUUAUUUAAUUUCUUAUCAUCUUUUGUUUCAUUUUAUAUAUUGGAUAUUUAUUUUAUUUCUUAUCGAUUUUUCUUAUAAUAUGACAGGCUUUUGAGCUUCUUGGACAUAAAUGUACGUUUCCUAAGAAAGAAGCUCCAUGCCAGUAAAAUUCCCUGAGGAGUGUAAGAAUUGAAUACUUCUUGAUCAGGCAUUAAUUUUAAUCUCUUUAUCUACCUCUGUAAUUAUAUUACAGUGUUGGUUAGGUAAAGCAGAGUAGCAGACGGUGAGACAGGAUUUGAUAAUACACUAAUAGAGAUUUUAUUUGUUUUUGUUUAUUUUUCUGUUCAUAAAUUAUACUUUCUAAUUAUGUGGCAAAAUCUGCCAAAAGCACAAUUAACAGGUAAUCCAUUUUUUUUUGUACUUAUUUAAAAAAUAUGGUCUUAUACUCUUAUCAUUGAUAAUGGUAUAUAGAGAUUAAUUUCUAAUGGGUUUAUUCUGUAUAGUAUAGGAUUUCAUUCUGUUUAAAAAUUCUAUCGGUUGUUACGUGUUGUUACAUCUCUAUUCGCUAUGCAUUUUGUACUUGUAAUUGUAUGAUUGUACCUGUUCAUUUUUCAAUACAAUUCUAGAACAUUUAAAGAUCAUACAAGUUACACUGACUUUACCUGAGUAAUUAUUUAUAAGUUUUUUCGUUGUUGUCUUGUUGUAGAUAUGAUUAUGGUAAUAGAUUAAUCUUUAAGAUUGAUAAGAGAGAUCGGGAUUUCUAAAUUUUUUUGACAUUUUAAAUUUUUGAUCUCCGAAAUUUUAUAUAAUUAACCGUAGUUUUUGAUGAUACCUAAGAAUAACAUUCAGUCAAAUACAAGAGUCCAAGAGUCUAAGAACGUCUUUAGGUCCGACACCGUUCGGACCCAGACCGUGUUUUGUAUACUGGCUUGCUCACUUUCAUUUAGCUGGCAAUCUGACAUGCUGUCCUAUUAUUGUAUUGACCAAUGUGUAUUUGUGUAUCAGGUUUUCUGACAAAGUAACGUGGCAAGAAGUCCGUUAUUGACGGGCAAGCUUAACUUAAACUUCAUUAGACAAAUAAUAGAUAUAGAUUAGAACAGCGUUCACAUGACAUGCUUACAAUUACAAUUGACGGGGCCAACUGGCAACGUGGGAAGUGGAGUGAGUAUUGGGAAAAGAGCACCUAGGAUUUAGUGGGGUAGUGUAGUAGUGGGUUGUUGGUAGUGACUAGUGGCUAAAAUAAUUAUCAUUGUUGCUUCCACUUCUUCCACCAGUUUUUUACUAUCUCCAAGUAAAUCUGAUUCCACGUAUCGAUUGGACCAGGCAGACACCAAUGGACGCAGUCGUUCUGAACUCUUUCCCCUACGCCAUGGGCGAAUGGGAACGGCAGCAUGUACGGUCCAGGAUGACCGUCUGGACGUAACACAGCUAAUCUCGUCACGUCCAAAAUUGCAAACUCCACCGACCUAUUCUUUUUUUUUGUCACCGCCGCAACCGCUUCCACCUGUCUCCGUCUCAUCUCGGCGUUCAUACCUUCGACCACCACAUCGUCUCUCUCCGGCUCCUUCUUCGGACAAGCUCCGGCCUUAUCCCACUCUCCCAGGAAAUGUGAAGGAGAGAAAGUCGUCACUGUCACCAACUUGUUCUUUUUCUUCCCGUCAUUUGCGCCGUUGAUGUGAUUGAGAGACGUAUCGAAAGCCAUACGGAACACGUCGUAGAAAUCCACCUCCGUGUGAUUCAUUCCGCCGCAGAAGUGGCAUCUGCGUUCGUAAGUAUAAUCAAUCUCGUAUAUCAAUCCUAAAUUAAUAUGUGAAUUGAUGAUUGUGUUGUGAUUUUUUUGUAAAUAAUGUACCCGAGACUGGAAGAUCCAUUGUUGUCCAAGUAGAUCGCCGGGUGAAGAAACCAAUGUCCGAUGGCGAACACGAUCAGGUCCAUUUCGUCGAUCUCCAUCGCCCACCGUUCGUCAACGAUGUCCAGAAAUAAAGUAUUGUAGUUCAGACCUUUGGAUUCGUCUUUCUCAAUUCCUUUGAUCAAGAACGGUGACCAGUAGAUCGAAAUCGUUGUGUUGUACGGUUUUGGAAACCUCCAUCUUCGGAAUCUGCUGUCUUCCCCAUUGUGGUACAUCAUGUCCGGAGUCACCUCCGUCGACAGAAGACAUAAAAGGGAUUCCAACUGAUUCCUUGCAAGUGAAUCUCCGAUGAAUGCUAAAUGUUUGUUUCGUAACAUGCGGAGGAAACUAGUGGCGUCAAAAGGCGCUAGAUGAUCGCAACCGUUUGGUUGCCAUCUCCAUCGGAGGUAUCCGGUGUCAGGACGUCCGUGCGCCAUGCAAUUUUGACCUUCUUGGAUGAUGCUCCUGCACGUUGUGUCAUUAUAGAGAUACCCGGCGUCGUUGUCUUGCACCCAUCGCCCAUCGGUAAAGUCACAUUCUGCAAAACCAGGUACAGAUCACGAAAGAUCAAAUGAACAUAAAAAUCAAAGAGCUGCAGACAGACGAAACUGCAGGAUUUGGCCACCUUGAGGAGAAGAAGAGUCGGUUGUCGAUGCACUCACCGGAACCCGGAACCCUUUUUCUCUUUUCUUUUCUAUGUUCUUCUUCUUGUUUUCAUUGUUGAUAUUGAAGCUGGGGUUGACGGAAGUUUCCGCGAGGGAAGGAGGAGGAGAAGCAGACGGUUGAAGAUGGUGAGCGAAGAAGUAGAGAUGGAGGAGGAGUAAAGGAAGGACGACGUAAAGAACUCUGUUUCCGAGAUUCCUGGUAAGAUAAGAAGAAACCGGCUGUGAUGGGGUAUUUUGGACAUGCCCAUGACCAUGGUGAUGAUGUUCCUUGCCAGGAAACGUCAUUCCUCGGAAGAGAAUUUGACGGUGGACGAUGAUGACGGCAGCUGUUGCUAUGGCCUACGGCGAGCGACCAGCAUUGAUUGAAUGGAGAGCAGAGGGGAGAAAGAGGAGGAGAUGUAAUUAAGACAUUUAAUAUGAAGACGAUAGAUAAAGUGAUUUUUUGUUGUUCGGGUCUGACAUGGUAACCCGGAAACCCGGACCCUAAUAAAGUCAGUGUAUCUCUGACUCUGUUACUAUCUAUGUCCAUCGAUCCUCGUCCAGCCAUCCGCAACAACUAACCUCUCUCCGUCCGCCUCUUCCCAUGCACGGAAAAAUUAAUCUCCUCUCCGUCCGGAGUUUGGUCAAAAUAAGCUUGGCUACAUUUCUGGAAACGCGAUGCACCGCCGACGUCACCUCCUCUUCCUUCUCCUUGAUAUCCUUUAUUUGGCGGUGGCAGUACGUAUUGAUGCCACUGCGACGCCGGCGGAAGGGGAACUCAGCGUCGAUUAUUACAAAAAGUCGUGUCCAAACUUGCAGAACGUGGUGCAGCAAACGGUGACUGAUAAGCAGAUUAAAACCUCAAGCACCGGCGCCGGUGUUCUUCGUUUAAUCUUCCACGACUGUUUCGCGACUGGAUGCGACGCGUCUAUACUCAUUUCCUCUAAUAGCUUCAAUAAGGCGGAGCGUGAUGCGGACAUCAAUCUAUCCCUCCCUGGCGAUGCCUUCGACGUCGUGGUAUGUAUGUAUUUACAGUACCGGAAAUCAGUCAGUUUGAGAAAUCAAUUAAUCGUUGUACUGAUUAGGUUCGUGCUAAGAUGGCGCUGGAGACGGAAUGUCCGGGGAUCGUAUCAUGUGCAGAUAUUCUUGCUUUGGCAGCUCGGGAUCUUAUUAUCAUGCUCGGCGGACCAUACUUUAAUGUACAGCUUGGUCGAAAAGACAGUCUCUCCUCUCAUGCUUCCGAUGUUGUGGGUAAAAUCCCAAUGCCCACCAUGUCAAUUGAAGAGCUCAUCACCCUCUUCAAGAACAAGGGUUUCACUGCUCAAGAAAUGGUUGCUCUCACCGGUGCACACACAGUUGGCUUCUCUCAUUGCAAGGAAUUUGCAGACAGGUUUGUCGGAUCGGAUAUUGAAAUUAGUCAAACGAGAGCUGAUUUGGUUUUUGUGUUGUUUGAAGGGUGUUUUCCAACGAGAGUGAUCCCAGUUUGAACCCAAGGAUGAAACUAGGGCUUAGGAAGGCAUGCCAUGAUUACAAGAACCGGACGACGGUGGCAGCAUUCAACGACAUUAUGACUCCAAACAAGUUCGAUAAUUUAUACUACCAGAACCUUCCGAGAGGUCUAGGGUUACUGUCUUCCGAUGUUGCACUGCUUACGCACCCUCAAACCAGACCAUUCGUGUUGCUCUAUGCAGCCAACCAGACAGCUUUUUUUAGGGACUUCGUUCUCGCCAUGGAGAAACUCAGCUUGGUGGAUGUCAAGAAAGGGAACAGGGGGGAGGUUCGCCGGAGAUGUGAUGAGUUCAAUGAAUUAAACACCUCAAAUUAAUUAUUUUAUGUUUAUAUAGGAGGGAGAGGGAGAAGUCGCAACUCGUCUGGAGGCAGUGGAGGGGCUUCAGAUCAAUUAAAGUGAAAUUAAUAACAUAAUUAAUACUGUAAAAUCUUCAAAUUUUCAAACCUUCGAUUAAUUGCCUUGAGAAAAAACAGGGUUAAAUUCAAAGUUUAGUUUAGGGCUUAUUGGCUUAAGGUUAAGUUUCCUCAUUAAAUUGUUCUCGUAAUUACUUUAAUCUUUAUCAUUGCAUGCUUAACUUGUUUUAGAUUUUGAAAUUAUACGUCAAUAUACAUACUAUACUACUAACAUAUACAUAUGUAAAAAUAUGUUUGAUUCAUUAUCGAACGUUCGUUGUAGAAAAUUAACUUAGAAACAGGAGAUAGAAGUUUCUUGAUUUUCAGCUGAAAUCAAAAUAUCAGUCAGAGAAACAUGCGACUAUGCGAGGUAUUGAUCCAGCACAUCAUAUUAGAUCAACUUUUGAGCCGACAAGACAACAAACCCAGUGGUAUUUCUCUUCGAUCUGCAAGAAUACAAGAGCACAGAGUGGCAAAGGAUAAACACUCAAUAAAUAUUUUUGUGACGAUCUGCAAGGUCCAAAUUCUUAGUAUUUCAAAAUUUGAGACAGUUUGCCAGUUUGGGCCUUUGAAGGAUCAUUCGUAAAAACAUUCUUUUUUGUGUUGUAUAAGAGUAUAACUAAUUCCUCAGUAAAGCAAAAGUAACCAAUUAUUAAUAUCUGCUUACCAACUUCAGCAAGGCUUCUUGUCCAUGCCUAGAUUAAUUUUAUACCAUUUCUUUUUCCUUUUGCCUGACUCUUCUCUUGAUGCAGACAUAUUUCCUUUAGUUUGAUGUUCUCUCGCAUCUUCAGAUUCUUUUGAUGAAGAUUUUAUCCUGUUGAUCCUUGAACUUUUUUUGGGUUUUGAAUUAUUGGUAUAUACAGCAUGAGUGGCCUCCCUCUCUUUAAGAAGUCUAUCGAUCUGUUUCAAGAAAAAUUGGUAAAGAAUAAAAAUACUGAAGCAUAUUUCAUAAUCCAUAUAGACAUAUAUAGAACUCACGGAUUCCAUUUCUGAUGUAUAUCUACCGGUCAUCCCAGAAAACUGGAUCAGCACCUAAUGAAAACAAAUAUAAACAAAGAAAAUAUUCAAACAAAAAAAAAAAAGAAUUGCAAACACACACACUGAUGACUCAUGAGCCUUCUAGUCAGCUAAAUAACCUCUCUGUACUCUGCCUCAAAAUUAGAAAGUUCAGCUCUUUUUGCUAAUAUUUUUUCCUCCACAACUUGAAGCCUUUGUUUUUCCUCAGAAAACGAAGCAGCACAUACAACCUUUAUUGUAUAACUUGCACUUUUAAAAAAGUUAUCACCUGCAGAAUUGCGGAGGUAAAUGAGUGUAAAAGUAAUAUAACAUGAUAUGUAAUUGAUAGUAGAAUAUACAAUCUUAUUGGAAAGUAAACAAGAGGAUUAUAAAUAUAUAAAAACAAUACUUGCCAUAGACGGAAAAUAAAUGUGUUCCUGCUUUCAACUCAUGUAUUUCACAAGGCUGAAAUCCAUCCAACUUUUUAAAGAAUGUAGAAUCGUCAUCUUUUGAAGCUGCCAUCUGGGUUGAAAAAAUGAUGGUUGAAUGGAAAUAUCAUCAGGGAAAAAAAUUGAAAAUGGAUGAUGAAUCAUUGUCUUUACCGAAUUACUAGUUUGUUCUAAAUGGUAAACUGGAAACCUAAGGAAAUACAUCCCAGCCGAUGUGAACUUUCCCGUUUUCAAACUGUCUUCCUGUAUCAAAAGCAAACAGUAAAUAAGCAGUAUGACCUGUUAAAUUAGAUCUAGAAACCAACAUAUUGCAGUGUUCUGUGUUCACAAGUCAAAACUGUGUUUUAUUUAAAUUGUGCUGAAAACACUAAUUGUGUGGUACUCUAAUUGACUAGCAGAAUGACAAUUUUAGGAAUCCCUGGAUCAGCAAUAUUUGAAAAAUAUUGGAAUAACAAAAAAUAAACAAAUAACUAACUAACAAGGUCUGAAGUAAAAAAAUCCAUUAAGGUAGGGUACUUUCAAGGAUAAAUAAUACUAUAGUUUGAUAUUUUAGUUUCAUGCCUAUUAAAUAGGAUUGAAAUAUAAACAUACCUGUAGGGCAAGACUCAGCCCCCCGUUCUCUUCCUUCUCAAAGUACAACAGCUAUAGCAAAAAUAAAAAUAAUAAUUAAUUUAAAGAACAAACAUUCCAAAAUUGAGUCCAUCACAUGUAACCGCUUAUAAUGCGACUUUUACAGCCAAGCAAUCUGGACGGCAUAUCUCCCUCAAGAGUUGAGAUAUCGAGAUAUGUGGUACUCGACUACUCGUGAUAUGUGCUAGAUAUGAAUGAACACAUUUCCUAAGAGAGAUAUCUGGUCCAGAUUACUUGGUUGCACUUUAUCGCAUUAUAUGCAAUUGCAUGUGAUAUUUACUCAACAACUCACAUGAAAAGUAUCCUUAUAUAAAUUAUAACAUGGAAGAAACUAAAAUACAUAUAGCAAUAAAAACAUGAACCAGAUAUUUUUAUAACACGGAAGAAACUAAAAUACAUAUAGUAAUAAAAACAUGAACCAGAUAUUUUUAGAGGAGAGUAAAAUGGAAGAUAAAAUGAUGGAAAACACAAAAUAGAAAAGAAAAGACACACAUUCAAUAAACAAAAUGGAAAACUACAAUGUAGAAACUUUAACAUUGCAUAAUAGCAUAGGAAUUGACACAGAGAUUCAUUCGAUUUUCUAUGGGAAAUUCAUACUAUUUUCAUUGUUUCUUUACUUUUUUAAUAUUGUUUGUUGAUUGAAGUUGACAGAACUAAAAAAAGUUUACUACUAUAUUACAAGGAAAACAUAGAACCAGAAUGAAAUUGCAAGAUGCCAAAUUUUCUAGAUCAUUCAUUCUACAGUUUCUACUAAAUUACCUUGAACUUGCUUUUGUUAGAUGAAUGUACUCGGCACACGAUUCCAGCUUCUGCCUGCUCUUUUGUUAGUUGCACAGAAUAAAAAUGAGCACACUGUUUCUCUACCUGUUUAACCAAUCAACAGAGAGGCAUUAGGCCAUUAAACAAUAAAAACAUAGUGACACAGACCAAGGUAAUGCUAAAAAUAAUUAACCUUUUUAGAAAGAGACUGCCCCAAUCGAAGUGGUAAAAUUUCAACAUUACCAUUAAGAGCCUCCUCCAAAACAAUUGUCGAUAUGGUUGUCUUAAUAUGUACUCCAAGUUUACUAGUACCCCCAAAAAACAUAAAUCAAUCACUGUUAAAGUCAUAUAUAU
rnacentral:lncRNA from 1 species